rnacentral:rRNA from 1 species
UUUAUGGAGAGUUUGAUCCUGGCUCAGGAUGAACGCUGGCGGCGUGCCUAAUACAUGCAAGUCGAGCGAACGGACGAGAAGCUUGCUUCUCUGAUGUUAGCGGCGGACGGGUGAGUAACACGUGGAUAACCUACCUAUAAGACUGGGAUAACUUCGGGAAACCGGAGCUAAUACCGGAUAAUAUUUUGAACCGCAUGGUUCAAAAGUGAAAGACGGUCUUGCUGUCACUUAUAGAUGGAUCCGCGCUGCAUUAGCUAGUUGGUAAGGUAACGGCUUACCAAGGCAACGAUGCAUAGCCGACCUGAGAGGGUGAUCGGCCACACUGGAACUGAGACACGGUCCAGACUCCUACGGGAGGCAGCAGUAGGGAAUCUUCCGCAAUGGGCGAAAGCCUGACGGAGCAACGCCGCGUGAGUGAUGAAGGUCUUCGGAUCGUAAAACUCUGUUAUUAGGGAAGAACAUAUGUGUAAGUAACUGUGCACAUCUUGACGGUACCUAAUCAGAAAGCCACGGCUA